CCUACGGGUGGCAGCAGUGGGGAAUAUUGGGCAAUGGGCGCAAGCCUGACCCAGCAACGCCGCGUGAAGGAAGAAGGCUUCCGGGUUGUAAACUUCUUUUCUCAGGGACGAAGCAAGUGACGGUACCUGAGGAAUAAGCCACGGCUAACUACGUGCCAGCAGCCGCGGUAAUACGUAGGUGGCAAGCGUUAUACGGAUUUACUGGGUGUAAAGGUCGUAUUGGUGGGACAGCAAGUCAGAUGUGAAAACAACGGGGUAAACCUGUUGCCUGCAUUUGAAACUGGAGUUCUUGAGUACUGGAGAGGCAGAAGGAAAACCUAGUGUAGAGGUGAAAAGAGUAGAAAUUAGGAAGAAAAACAGUGGCGAAGGCAGGUUUAUGGACAGCAACUGACGCUGAGGCGCGAAAGCGUGGGGAGCAAACAGGAUUAGAUACCCGAGUAGUC
rnacentral:rRNA from 1 species